rnacentral:rRNA from 1 species
CCUACGGGGUGCUGCAGUGAGGAAUAUUGGUCAAUGGGCGGAAGCCUGAACCAGCCAAGUCGCGUGAGGGAUUAAGGCCCUGCGGGUCGUAAACCUCUUUUGCCGGGGAGCAGAGGUCCGGACGUGUCCGGGCCGGGAGAGUACCCGGAGAAAAAGCAUCGGCUAACUCCGUGCCAGCAGCCGCGGUAAUACGGAGGAUGCGAGCGUUAUCCGGAUUUAUUGGGUUUAAAGGGUGCGUAGGCGGGCAUUUAAGCCGGCGGUCAAAAUUCGGGGCUCAACCCCGUCCGGCCGUUGAAACUGGGGGCCUUGAGUGGGCGAGAAGAAGGCGGAAUGCGUGGUGUAGCGGUGAAAUGCAUAGAUAUCACGCAGAACCCCGAUUGCGAAGGCAGCCUUCCGGCGCCCUACUGACGCUGAGGCACGAAAGUGCGGGGAUCGAACAGGAUUAGAUACCCCUGUAGUC